CGUUAUUUUUUUUUUGGAUGCGGUCUAUCUGCAGUCGAGCGGAAGAUGGGAGCUUGCUCCCUGAUGUUAGCGGCGGACGGGUGAGUAACACGUGGGUAACCUGCCUGUAAGACUGGGAUAACUCCGGGAAACCGGGGCUAAUACCGGAUGGUUGUUUGAACCGCAGGUUCAAACAUAAAAGGUGGCUUCGGCUACCACUUACAGAUGGACCCGCGGCGCAUUAGCUAGUUGGUGAGGUAACGGCUCACCAAGGCAACGAUGCGUAGCCGACCUGAGAGGGUGAUCGGCCACACUGGGACUGAGACACGGCCCAGACUCCUACGGGAGGCAGCAGUAGGGAAUCUUCCGCAAUGGACGAAAGUCUGACGGAGCAACGCCGCGUGAGUGAUGAAGGUUUUCGGAUCGUAAAGCUCUGUUGUUAGGGAAGAACAAGUACCGUUCGAAUAGGGCGGUACCUUGACGGUACCUAACCAGAAAGCCACGGCUAACUACGUGCCAGCAGCCGCGGUAAUACGUAGGUGGCAAGCGUUGUCCGGAAUUAUUGGGCGUAAAGGGCUCGCAGGCGGUUUCUUAAGUCUGAUGUGAAAGCCCCCGGCUCAACCGGGGAGGGUCAUUGGAAACUGGGGAACUUGAGUGCAGAAGAGGAGAGUGGAAUUCCACGUGUAGCGGUGAAAUGCGUAGAGAUGUGGAGGAACACCAGUGGCGAAGGCGACUCUCUGGUCUGUAACUGACGCUGAGGAGCGAAAGCGUGGGGAGCGAACAGGAUUAGAUACCCUGGUAGUCCACGCCGUAAACGAUGAGUGCUAAGUGUUAUGGGGUUUCCGCCCCUUAGUGCUGCAGCUAACGCAUUAAGCACUCCGCCUGGGGAGUACGGUCGCAGUGAAAACAG
rnacentral:rRNA from 1 species